rnacentral:rRNA from 1 species
AGCGAACGCUGGCGGCAGGCCUAACACAUGCAAGUCGAACGAACCCUUCGGGGUUAGUGGCGGACGGGUGAGUAACACGUGGGAACGUGCCUUUAGGUUCGGAAUAACUCAGGGAAACUUGUGCUAAUACCGAACGUGCCCUUCGGGGGAAAGAUUUAUCGCCUUUAGAGCGGCCCGCGUCUGAUUAGCUAGUUGGUGAGGUAAUGGCUCACCAAGGCUACGAUCAGUAGCUGGUCUGAGAGGAUGACCAGCCACAUUGGGACUGAGACACGGCCCAAACUCCUACGGGAGGCAGCAGUGGGGAAUCUUGCGCAAUGGGCGAAAGCCUGACGCAGCCAUGCCGCGUGGAUGAUGAAGGUCUUAGGAUUGUAAAAUCCUUUCACCGGUGAAGAUAAUGACGGUAGUCGGAGAAGAAGCCCCGGCUAACUUCGUGCCAGCAGCCGCAGUAAGAC